rnacentral:lncRNA from 1 species
GCCGGGCGCGGUGGCGCGUGCCUGUAGUCCCAGCUACUCGGGAGGCUGAGGCUGGAGGAUCCCUUGAGUUCAGGAGUUCUGGGCUGUAGUGCGCUAUGCCGAUCGGGUGUCCGCACUGAGUUCGGCAUCAAUAUGGUGACCUCCCGGGAGCGGGGGACCACCAGGUUGCCUAAGGAGGGGUGAACCGGCCCAGGUCGGAAACGGAGCAGGUCAAAACUCCCGUGCUGAUCAGUAGUGGGAUUGCGCCUGUGAAUAGCCACUGCACUCCAGCCUGGGCAACAUAGUGAGACCCUGCCU